UACGGAGGGUGCGAGCGUUGUCCGGAAUCACUGGGCGUAAAGGGCGCGUAGGUGGCGUCGCAAGUCAACGGUGAAAGCUCGGCGCUCAACGCCGAGUCGGCCGUCGAGACUGCGAGGCUCGAGCACUGUAGGGGCAGAUGGAAUUCCGGGUGUAGCGGUGGAAUGCGUAGAGAUCCGGAAGAACACCGGUGGCGAAGGCGGUCUGCUGGGCAGUUGCUGACGCUGAGGAGCGAAAGCGUGGGGAGCGAACAGG
rnacentral:rRNA from 1 species